UAUUAGCUAUUUUCUGAUUAGUAUAAAUAUUUGCAGGAAGUGAUUAAAGCUGAGAAUGGAAGGGGGGAGAAAGGGAUUUUAGUGAAAGGCAGUCACCUGCAAAAAAGGAAGGGCACAUGUAGAAAGUCUGAGAGUUGCUGAAUUAGGACAGUUAUUUUUUUCCUCUCAAUCAUUAAUUUGCAUCUGCUGCAAACAGGCUGGAUGGUGAAUCAGCACCUCUUCAUGCAAAUAUCCCUUCAUUUAACCAACCAUAAAUUAAACCAAUCAAGCAAACCCAGCACAGGCCCUUUGUUGCUUAAUUAAGUUCCCAGGUAGCUAUGGGAUGUGAGGUGGAAGGCCAGGUAGUUCUCAUUGCUAUGGUGUGCUCUAAUGCCUGGUGGGUGUUUGUGCUACAAAUCUGAAGGUGCAAGGAGGAGACAAAGGGAUGAAACAGGACGUGGCUGUGCACACAGAGGCGGCACAAACCAGCCACAGCAUCCUCGGUCCCAAGGCUGUGAACUGGAUCCCAUCUCCCCCACCGCAGCAGCUCCCCCGCCGUCCCGAUCUUUAAAGAAAGGAACAACAACCUGAUAGAGAUCUCCCCCCGCCAAACACAACGGCCAAACCGUCGGCGCUGCAGUAACGAGCUCUGUCCUGCAGCAGAAGCGUGCAAGAAAGCCAAUGGAAAACAAACCCAUGUGCAGAGCAGCCGCGGGCCGCGGUCCCACAUGGACGGCUGCUGAAGCCCCUGUCGAGUGCACCUUCCUGGCAGCUGCUAACUCAAUUCACAUCCCUGCUCCGCGGUGCAGCGCAGACCUGUUGGACCCCCUCCAGCACAGAUGUACGGAAUUGGUGAGCGGCCUCAGUGCUGAACCCGGCGAUUGCGAGAGACGAGCGAGGCCAGCUAAUUGCUCAAACUGUUGCUCAAGUCACCGUGCAGAAGCCU